rnacentral:SRP_RNA from 1 species
GUUGAGUUAUGUAACAAUGACUUGUGACCUAAGUUGGGGCAAUAAGGUGAUGGAAGAAGCAAUAUUGGUGUAAGAAGAAUAUAAUGCCUUAUUUAAUUUUUCUUCUCCUUA